rnacentral:rRNA from 1 species
UGCUGGUGCUUUGGCGAUGGGGUCACACCCGAUCCCAUUCCGAACUCGGAAGUUAAGCCCAUCAGCGCCGAUGGUAGCCCAAUGGGCGAGAGUAGGUCGGCGCCAGCAC